rnacentral:lncRNA from 1 species
AGAAGCUCCUGCUCAGUAACUACAGACGCGAAGCUCAGCCUCUCGGUUUGGGAAUUUUCUUGGAGGCCGAGGCCCUGCGCCUCUGUCUGCACCCAAGGCGACCGCCCAGCUUACCCCCGGCUCUUCUGAGCACAGGGAGGCCUCCCAGCAAAGCCUGAACCCUCUAAGUUUAGCUGCAGGCUUCGAACCCCGACCGUCCCCGCCGAGCCUUGGGCUGCUGAGGUGGGGAUGAACUGGGCGAAAGACACUUGGGAGUUAGGAAGAAACAAACAAGCAGGGAAGUGACCAGGAGACAAGAUGGGCGUCCACAGAAUGAAUACAGGAAUGUCUGUCUGCCUGUCUGUGUAUACUCUGUGAAGGAAUAUACCAACAUUACAUGCUGACCCAAGGAUAGCCAGUACGCCUUCUGCAAGAGGAAAGUUUGUGUUUCAAAAUCCAUCAAGUGAAAGAGAACAGAAAAAUUCAGAGGGCGUCAUUCACGGUAUCAUUUGAGGAUAUGCUGCAGCAAAAUGAGUGAAUAAACAAGAAAGUCAAAGACAUGGGAUUGAGGAAACAGUGACUUCAGCCCAAGAUUGGAAUGACAGGGAGCCCCAGGCCACUGGGCAGCAGCACAGACAGCAAUCUGUUCAGACUGCAGCAGAACAGCAAACUCCUGGAGCAGUAUCAAGAGGUGGCGGGGGUUCCAAGAUGGCCGAAUAGGACCAGCUCCAGUCUACAGCUCCCAGUAUGAGCGACACAGAAGACGGGUGACUUCUGCAUUUCCAACUGAGGUACCGCAUUCAUCUCACUGGGGCUUGUCAGACACUGGGUGCAGCCCACAGAGUGUGAGCCGAAGCAGGGCGAGGCAUCGCCUCACCUGGGAAGCACAAGGGGUCAGGAAUUCCCUUUACUAGCCAAGGGAAGCUGUGGCAGAUGGUACCUGGAAAAUCGGGACACUCCCACCCUAAUAUUGCGCUUUUCCAACAGCCUUAACAAACAGCACACCAGGAGAUUAUAUCCCGCGCCUGGCUCAGAGGGUCCCAUGCCCACGGAGCCUCGCUCAUUGCUAGCACAGCAGUCUGAGAUCAAACUGCAAGGCGGCAGUGAGGCUGGGGGAGGGGCAUCCGCCAUUGCUAAGGCUUGAGUAGGUAAACAAAGCGGCCUGGAAGCUCGAACUGGGUGGAGCCCACCACAGCUCAAGGAGGCCUGCCUGCCUCUGUAGACUCCACCUCUGGGGGCAGGGCAUAGCUGAACAAAAGGCAGCAGAAACUUCUGCAGAAUUAAACAUCCCUGUCUGACAGCUUUGAAGACAGUAGUGGUUCUCCCAGCACAGUUUGAGAUCUGAGAACAGACAGACUACCUCCUCAAGUGGACCCCUGACCCCUGAGUAGCCUAACUGGUAGGCACCUCCCAGUAGGGGCCGACUGACACCUCAUAUGGCUGGGUGCCCCUCUGAGACAAAGCUUCCAGAGGAAGGAUCAGGCAGCAACAUUGGCCAUUCUGCAAUAUUUGCUGUUCUGCAGCCUCCACUGGUGAUACUCAGGCAAACAAGGUCUGGAGUGGACCUACAGCAAACUCCAACAGACCUGUAGCUGAAGGUCCUGUUAGAAGGAAAACUAACAAACAGAAAGGACAUCCACACCAAAACCCCAUCUGUAUGUCACCAUCAUCAAAGACCAAAGGUAGAUAAAACCAUAAAGAUGGGGAGAAACUAGAGCAGAAAAGCUGAAAAUUCUAAAAAUCAGAGCACCUAUUCUCCUCCAAAGUAACGCAGCUCCUCGCCAGCAGCAGAACAAAGCUGGACAGAGAACAACUUUGACAAGUUGAGAGAAGAAGGCUUCAAACGAUCAGUAAUAACAAACUUCUCCGAGCUAAAGGAGGAUGUUCGAACCCAUCGCAAAAAAGCUAAAAACAUGCAAAAAAGAGUAGACGAAUGGCUAACUACAAUAAACAGCAUACAGAAGACCUCAGGUACCCAAUGGAGCUGAAAACCAUGGCACGAGAACUAUAUGACACAUGCACAAGCUUCAGUAGCCGAUUUGAUCAAGUGGAAGAAAGGGUAUCAGUGAUUGUAGAUCAAAUGAAUGAAAUGAAGUGAGAAGAGUUUAGAGAAAAAAGAGUAAAAAGAAAUGAACGAAGCCUCUGAGAAAUAUGAGACUAUGUGAAGAGACCAAAUCUACGUUUGACUGGUAUACCUGAAAGUGAUGGGGAGAAUGGAACCAAGUUGGAAAACACUCUUCAGGGUAUUAUCCAGGAGAACUUCCCCAAC